GGAAGCUGUAGUAGAUGCAUUGCAUCAACACAAUCUGAGACAAAAUGAGGACCGGGUCCCAGAUGUAACUGCGGAAAUGACUGCCCAUUCCAAAGCUUUAGGAGGGAACACAGGGACCGCCGAACAGCUGAAAAGGCCCAUUCUUCACUGGCCAGGUGGACGCCCAAGAAAAAUUUGCAAGCAGUCAAGACUUUGCCAACAGCCGUGCAUAUGAAAAAUAGGAGGCAAGUGGGCAAUCCCAUGGUAAAGACUUUACGCUGUGAUUCAGAUGUUUCAUUUUAAAAUGUAUACAAUACAAAAAUCAUCGAUGUCAAAGUUUAACAAACCAUACAACUCUGUGCAUAAGGACCACUUUUAACAAUUUCCACUGAAAAUUGUACAAAAACACAUUUCCAGGAAGAACUGUGCAGAUAAAAUGUUUAUCAAACUUUGCAUCUGCAGUUUUUCCAGUAAAUGUUUUUGUUUAUUUACUGUGUAAAUUGUUCAAAGUAGUCACUGUGCAUAGAGUUGUAUGGUUUGUUAAACUUUGAAAUCAAUGUUUUUGUACCUACAUUUUAAAGGGACAGUGGACCAAACGGGCCUCUGGAGACUCUGAUCCUGUGUACAGAAAGUGAAACCACGCUCCGGUCGACGUGAAUGGAUCACUGUACCGUCGUAACAGGGUUAACUUUCGGAUUGCUGAGCCAGCACCUACUCAGAACCCUGAUGGUCAAUGGGGUCGCAUGACAAAAGACGGAACCCCAGCAAGUCACAUGGGGCCUGAGGCACUGGGCAAAGAGCCAGGGGAUCACAGGUCGGCCGCUCCCUCACCCAUUAAUACUCCCCUUAGACAGUCAGGUGACAUGCCUGUGCGGGAACUUGCAGUCCUCGCAGACAAGCCCCCUGUCUUUUCACGCUGCGGGCAUCUGUCCCAGCCACCAAAAAUACUUAAUCUGUAGGUUUCCCAUUAGGGAUUGUUGACAGACAGAGAUAAAAGUGAAGAGAGUAUCGAAAUGUGUUACGGUUACCUGAAAAAAAUAAAAAAUAAAUAAAUAAAUAAAAUAACUAAACUGUU